AGUGAACGCUGGCGGCAGGCCUAACACAUGCAAGUCGAACGGUAACAGAAAACAGCUUUCUGCUUUGCUGACGAGUGUCGGACGGGUGAGUAAUGUCUGUGGAACUGCCCGAUGGAGGGGGAGAACUACUGGAAACGGUAGCGAAUACAGCAUAACCUCGCUAGGCCAAAGAGGGGGACCUUAGGGCCUCUUGCGAUCUGAUGUGCCCAGAUGGGAUUAGCUAGUAGGGGGGGUAACGGCUCACCUAGGCGACGAUCCCUAGCUGGUCUGAGAGGAUGACCAGCCACACUGGAACUGAGACACGGUCCAGACUCCUACGGGAGGCAGCAGUGGGGAAUAUUGCACAAUGGGCGCAAGCCUGAUGCAGCCAUGCCGCGUGUAUGAAGAAGGCCUUCGGGUUGUAAAGUACUUUUAGCGGGGAGGAAGGGAGUAAAGUUAAUACCUUGGCGCAUUGACGUUACCCGAAGAAGAAGCACCGGCUAACUCCGUG
rnacentral:rRNA from 1 species